rnacentral:lncRNA from 1 species
ACGCAGCACCAUGGGCCAGGAAAACGACACCCACUUCAACCUCGUUGGGUUCUCCAACUUCGUCCGGACGAACCCCCGGUCCGACCGGUUCAGGGUCCACCGGUUCCACCACGUCGAGUUCUGGUGCACCGACGCCACCAACGCCGCCCUCCGAUUCUCCUGGGGACUCGGCAUGCCCAUGGUAGCUAAGUCCGACCUCUCCACCGGCAAUCAAACCCAUGCCUCCUACCUUCUCCGCUCCGGCGACCUCAAUUUCCUCUUCACCGCCCCGUACUCCCCCACCCUGACCCGAACCGCCGACCCGGCCCGGCCCAGCAACUCCAGCGCCUCCAUCCCCACCUUCGACCACACCGCCUCCCGCGCCUUCUCUGCCACCCACGGCCUCGGCGUCCGCGCCGUCGCCAUCCAAGUCGAAGACGCCGUCUCCGCCUUCACCACCAGCGUCGCCCACGGCGCCAAACCCUCGGCCGCCCCCAUCCUCCUCGACAACCGCGUCACCAUCGCGGAAGUCCAACUCUACGGCGACGUUGUUUUGCGGUACGUCAGCUACUCGGACCACAACCACCUCACAGAUCCGGACCCCAACCUCUGGUUCCUCCCCGGAUUCGAACCCCUAC